GAUGAACGCUAGCGGCAGGCUUAACACAUGCAAGUCGAGGGGCAGCGCGGGAUAGCAAUAUCCUGGCGGCGACCGGCGGACGGGUGCGUAACGCGUGAGCGACAUGCCCGUUGCCCGGGGACAACCGGUGGAAACGCCGACUAAUCCCCGAUGGGAUAUUGUGCCGCAUGGCACGAUAUUGAAAGUUACGGCGGCGACUGAUUGGCUCGCGUCCGAUUAGCUUGUUGGCGGGGUAACGGCCCACCAAGGCUGCGAUCGGUAGGGGUUCUGAGAGGAAGGCCCCCCACAAGGGGAGUGAGACACGGCCCAUACUCCUACGGGAGGCAGCAGUGAGGAAUAUUGGACAAUGGGCGGAAGCCUGAACCAGCCAUGCCGCGUGCGGGAAGGAGGCCCUAUGGGCUGUGAACCGCUUUUGCCUGGGGGCAAUAAGGGCGUCGCGCACGUCCGAUGAGAGUACCAGGCGAAUAAGCAUCGGCUAACUCCGUG
rnacentral:rRNA from 1 species